rnacentral:snoRNA from 1 species
GCUCACUGUGGCUUUGUGGGCUGGUGAGGCCCUCCAUUUCUACCGCCAGAGACCCUGGGUGUAAGCUCCUCUACCUUCGGGCCUCAGUUACCCAUCAAUCAAGUGUGGGUAAUAAUACUUCAUUGUGAAGGGCGACUAACA